rnacentral:lncRNA from 1 species
GGAUAUUUGCGCGCGUGGUACCUCCGAUUUGCGACGCGUUGCAAUUUGGCCAUUUUUCAUUAUUUUCUUUUAUUUUUAAUUUAGCCCCAUAAUUUUAUUUUUGUUUUAAUUUGGUCAAUUGCAGCACCGCGUUUUGGGGUACUUGGUCUAUUUACCAUUUUGGUCCCCCUCUUUCUGCGCGUGUCGCAGUUCGGUCCUUUUCG